UGGGGAAUUUUGGACAAUGGGGGAAACCCUGAUCCAGCCAUCCCGCGUGUGCGAUGAAGGCCUUCGGGUUGUAAAGCACUUUUGGCAGGAAAGAAACGUCGCGGGUUAAUACCCCGCGAAACUGACGGUACCUGCAGAAUAAGCACCGGCUAACUACGUGCCAGCAGCCGCGGUAAUACGUAGGGUGCAAGCGUUAAUCGGAAUUACUGGGCGUAAAGCGUGCGCAGGCGGUUCGGAAAGAAAGAUGUGAAAUCCCAGAGCUUAACUUUGGAACUGCAUUUUUAACUACCGGGCUAGAGUGUGUCAGAGGGAGGUGGAAUUCCGCGUGUAGCAGUGAAAUGCGUAGAUAUGCGGAGGAACACCGAUGGCGAAGGCAGCCUCCUGGGAUAACACUGACGCUCAUGCACGAAAGCGUGGGGAGCAAACAGGAUUAGAUACCCUGGUAAUCCACGCCCUAAACGAUGUCAACUAGCUGUUGGGGCCUUCGGGCCUUGGUAGCGCAGCUAACGCGUGAAGUUGACCGCCUGGGGAGUACGGUCGCAAGAUUAAAACUUAAAUGAAUUGAC
rnacentral:rRNA from 1 species